ensembl:lncRNA
UUUUUUAAAAGGGGAAAAUAAGGCCCUAGGAUCUUUCUACCCAACCUAAUCACUUUCAGAUGAGGAACUAGGAUUCAGGGAGAUUAACUGGCCUACCCAGGCUGCACAGCCCAUUAGUGACAAACCCUGCACUGGAAGUGAAUGUUCUAAAAACUUACAUCGAAGCUCCUGUCAUGGUGCAUCGAAAACGAAUCCAACUAGGAACCAUGAGGUUGCAGGUUCAAUCCCUGGCCUCGCUCAGUGGGUUAAGGAUCUGGCCUUGCCAAGAGCUGUGGUGUAGGUCACAGACGAGGCUCAGAUCUGGCAUUGCUGUGGCUCUGGUGUAGGCCGGCAGCUACAGCCCCAAUUAGACCUCUAGCCUGGGAACCUCCAUAUGCCUCAGAUGAGGCCCUCAAAAGACAAAAAAGACCAAAAAAAAAAAAAAUUAAAUAAAAAUAAAAAAAUAAAGACCAGCCUAAGUACUAAAUCCACUUACAUUGUAAUUAAUGUAUCUAUCAAGGCUUUUCCCCUGACCAAACUCAAGCUUCUCAUUUCUAAAUAUGUAGACACCUGAUCCUGAUGUAAGUUUUUAGAACAUUCACUUCCAGUGCAGGGUUUGUCACUAAUGGGCUGUGCAGCCUGGGUAGGCCAGUUACUCAUAAUAUUAUUAAAUUACAUUUUUAGUCACACCCUUUUUCCCUUAAAUGGACGUGAGAUGAAAAAGUUACUGUGACAAAUUUUGUGGAAAAAUUGGAAGGUAUUCAUGUAGCACAGUAGAUGUUUUCGGAAAAUUUUUGUGACAUUUUGAACACGGAGUCUACACAGAACAGAAUGGAGUCCGCUUUUCUUCUCUCCAAACAUAAGCAUUUAUUUAGACUGGAUGAUGGGCCACAGAAAAGUCAGUGAUCUCAUUCAGAAUUUUUACAAUUUAACUCUCAAAAUUCAAUAAUUUUUUAAGAGGUCACCAGGUCUAAUCUUUAUGUGUAAUUCAGGCCGAUAGGGGAAAAAAGGAGAAAGUGGUACUUUUUAAUUUGACAGAGAGGUUGAAGAUCAAAAAAUAAUAAUAAAGGAAAAAAAGGACUCCCACAAAAGUCUAGAAAUUAAGAAGCCCACCCAGCAGUUCCGGUUCAUGCUGUGGUUAACAGGGAGUGUACUGCCACCAAGUGGUUCACUAACUCCACUCACUUCUGGAACUGUAUGUGUCUUAAAUUCUCCCCAAAUAUCCAUACCUUUUCAAAGAAUCUGUUUUCAGUUUAAAUGAAAAUAUCAUGAAACCUUGGGCAAGAAAGCUAAGAAACUUUUCCUAAACUGACAAAUGAGCAAGUUCUUAAUUGUCAAAAGAAAAUGUGAUGAAUUUCUAUCAUUAAAACCGCCAGGACAUCACCGUGAGCUGUGGUGUAGGUCGCAGAUAUGGUUCAGAUCUGGCAUUGCUGUGGCUGUGGCAUAGGCCAGUGGCUACAGUUCCAAUUCGAUCCCUAGCCUGGGAACCUCCAUAUGCAGCGGGUGAGGCCCUAAAAAGAUGAAAAAUAAAAAAAUUAAAAAAUAAAACCCCCAGGAAACUAAAGUGAUGACAUGCUUUUACCCAACACAAGGGAAGGUGGUGUCACAGCUGAUAAGCACAGGGGCAAUUCCUAUGAAGUGACAGAUGCGUAAUAAAAAAAUCUACACCAUUUGAAUGGAAUCUAAUUUCUAGUAAAUGUUGCUCUUGGGAAAGAUAUAAUGGGCGGAGUUCCCAUCGUGGCUCAGCAGUUAAUGAAUACAAAUAGGAUCCAUGAGGACACAGGUUCUAUCCCUGACCUUAAUCAGUGGCUUAAGGAUCUGGCAUUGCCAUGAGCUGUGGAGUAGGUCACAGACACAGCUUGGAUCUGGAGUUGCCGUGGCUGUGGUGCAGGCCAGAAGCCACAGCUCCGAUUCUACUCCUAGCCUGGGAACCUCCAUAUUCCACAGGUGCAGCCCUAAAAAAGAAGAAGGAGAAGAAAAGGAAGAAGAAGUGAACAUAUGAGGUUGGUGCUGGUCCCAGGCCUGUGUCCAAAACCCUUCACUUUUUGGAGACCCCCGGGAAGAGAGUGGGGCUCACAGGACAGCAAGAGAUUUUGCUCACAUUGUGAUGCUUAUCUCAAUACCACAAAAGUAGACAUUCAAAACAAAGCUCUUGUGAAAUUUCUUUUCACUGCCUCUUCCCAUCACCACACCCUGUGUCAACAAAUAGCUGACUUUAGGGCCCAGGACCAAAGUGGGUGUGUGUUUUGUAGAGAACAUAUAAAGGAGACUAUUUAGGUAAGAAGGAAUUCCAGCCUCCUCGUGGCACCUUGACAAUCAGAGGGAUCUUGUUCCAGCAAGUCAGCCACGGGGAUCUUUGGCCUUGGUUCACACUGUCUUCUUUACUCUCUUCCUUAGCCCUGGCAUCUUGUUGAACUCAGCCUGACAUCAAGUUAAUGGAUGGGGCAAACUUCACAUGCUUACCAAGGCAGUGUUCUUCACUGUGACAAAACCCACCUCAAAACCACCAGGGGUGCUUGCUUAUUAGGAAUGUGGAUGCUAGGGCCACACCCCAGACCUACUGAAACUUUUUGGAAGUUAGCGUUUUUGCACAUAAUCUACAUGAUUCUUAUGCCCUCAAAUUUGGGAAUUACUGACUAGGAGAAAGGUCACAGAGCAGAGGUUCCCUAAGUUAACUACACAAUAGGAUAAUCUAGGGACCCCUUUAAAGAUAGUGAUGACUGGCUUCUACCCCCCGCCCCAGAUACUCUGAUUAACUGGUAUGGAUGUGGUAGCAAAGCGAUCAACACCUGUAAAGACACUGACACCUGGAUGAUGGCUCCCUGUGGCACCAGCAAGAGAGCAUCUUCACUGAAAAAGCAGUAACUCUGAGGCCUUGGGUAACUUCCAGGCUGCUCUGAGCCAACAAUGGGAGACAGAACAAGCUCCUUCCCAUAAAAAUAUUGUAUUAGGAGAGCUGAUCUUCCAUAUCCUUUCACAUAAAUUAUGUAUAAAAUUACUGCCUUUGUUCCAUGACCGUACAUGUCUCGGGCAGGUGGCUCUGUUUCCCUGGGGCACAGCCUGCAAUGGUGUGAUUAGUCACUUAGAGGCCAAGUCAUCUUCCAGAUCCCUGAGACACGGAUGCCAAGUCAUUGUCCUGGACCAUGCUCUGCUGAAAGCAGAGCGAAGGUAAGGUGAACUACUUGAAAAGUAUUGAACAAAAUUCCCAAGCAGCACAUCAGAAAUGCAGAUAGAAAACCCAAGAAUUCCCAAAGCACCUCUUAAAUCAUAACAACUCUUUCUGGUGAGGAUUCAAAGACAAAGACUCUGUUAGCACCUUGAGAACCCUACUUUUUGUCCACUUUCAUUGAAAAUGCAGAAUAAAUCUUUACC